GUUCUUAUGGUUGAGGUAUCAACGAUGGU
rnacentral:tRNA from 1 species